UGGUUCUGGCAUCGAUGAAGAACGCAGCGAAAUGCGAUAAGUAAUGUGAAUUGCAGAAUUCAGUGAAUCAUCGAAUCUUUGAACGCACAUUGCGCCCGCUAGUAUUCUGGCGGGCGUGCCUGUUCGAGCGUCAUUUCAACCCUCAAGCCCCCGGGCUUGGUGUUGGAGAUCGGCGUGCCCUCCGGGGCGCGCCGGCUCCCAAAUAUAGUGGCGGUCUCGCUGUAGCUUCCUCUGCGUAGUAGCACACCUCGCACUGGGAAACAGCCUGGCCACGCCGUUAAACCCCCCACUUCUGAAAGGUUGACCUCGGAUCAGGUAGGAAUACCCGCUGA
rnacentral:misc_RNA from 1 species